rnacentral:rRNA from 1 species
AUGCAUGCUUGCUAUAACAAUGAGGUAGAUGUUUGUUUACUUGUCCCACAUAUUAGCAUCUUUACAUCACAUUUGCAUGAUUGUUUCCAUGAUGCUUCUCCAUGUGCCCAAUUUAUGUGCUUACAUGCCAUACCACACUCCCUUGUCACACCAUAUGCUAUGCUUGAUGACAACACUUGUUGGGUGAAUCACCUCUUGAAUGCUUGGUUUUUCUUUAAUGCCAACCACAUUUCUUUUUCCAAGUGCUUCUUAUCUUUGCUACUUUUGAAGGAACCACAAGACGGUGCGACAUUGGAGAGUUCCCACUCAGAGCUUCAACAUCAUACGUGCUUGGUGGUCGUCCACCUCUACACGGCGAUGCGCUCUCUUUCCCAUGGUGAUGAAGAUCACGAUCCAUGGACGGAUCUCUCCCAUUGGGGGGGAUGA